AGAAUACCGCCUUUGAUUCAUGAGUUUCGAAACAUGAGCGCGAGACACCGAGUGAGGUGAAAUUGGGACAAGGGGAGAUAGAAGUAUUAGUGUGUGCGCGCACGUGUCUGGGAAGGGAGACGUGGUGUAGGCUGCUGCUUUGUGCUGGUAUUUGGCAACAGGCAUGGGCCAAAGACAAGUGGCACAGCAUUUGUGUGAGAAGACCCACAGCAUGCAACAUCAUCCAUGAUGUUUACUUCAUGAAUACUUGGUCCUCUGUUCAUAGCAAAACGAACUGUCAUAGCAAAACGAACUGAAGACUGGAAGAGAAUUAAGGAAUUGAACAGUCGCUGGGACAUUCCUAAAUGUUUGGGUCACAGAAAAAGAAAGGGAAAUCUGGCAGACGCAUCAUCCCAUUUCACUGAACAAUUGACCUGAUCUUCACUAACCUGAAGACUAUAAUCACUUGACUAACUACAAUCUAGUAGAACAUCCACUUCACCUGCAGCAGUCUUGUCCUUCCACAGAGGAUCCACUGGGCAAGGCUGGGGCGUUGUUCCUGAAAUAAGACAGGGCAUUACUAGGUUGCCUUAAAGGGAAUCCUGGACUUACUCCAGAUGGCAUCAGCAAAGCCAGCAACCAUUGCUGUUACUGCUGCUGCUGCUACGACGACCUUCAUCCGGAAAUGGAUCUGAGAGAUAAAUACUUUGUCAGACAGACCUGUGUAUCUAGUGUGUGAGACUUGUGGACUAGUAGUGUUGCUGGUAACAAGCUGCAAGAGUUUAAAGUCAAAAGACUCCCGAUCAUAUUGUUUUUCUUUUUUUUUUUAAUAAUUUUUCCCAACUGGAUGUGUUGUAGUUGUUCUCCGGAGCCUGUUUGAAGUAUUGUAAAAACUCGCUUGACUGUCAGAGCUAUGUUAAUAAAUGAAUGACCUUUGA
rnacentral:lncRNA from 1 species